rnacentral:tRNA from 1 species
GGAAUCAUAGCUCAGCUGGUAGAGCACAUGCCUUACAAGCAUGGGGUCAUAGGUUCGAGCCCUAUUGGUUCCACCA